rnacentral:sRNA from 1 species
UGACCACCCUUGUGUGUUUUUUAUCACAGGGUUAAGCCCAUACGGACAGGCGGGUCAGCUGCCG